GACGGGGGAUGCAAGCGUUAUCCGGAAUCACUGGGCGUAAAGCGUCUGUAGGUGGUGAUGCAAGUCACUGGUGCAAAACUCUGGCUCAACCGGAGGAAAGCCAGUGAAACUGCAUGACUAGAGUGUGGGAGAGGUAGAAGGAAUUCCCUGAGUAGCGGUGAAAUGCGUAGAUACAGGGAAGAACACCGGAGGCGAAAGCGUUCUACUGGAACACAACUGACUAUGAGAGACGAAACCUAGGGGAGCGAAUGGG
rnacentral:rRNA from 1 species